UAAUGUUAAAGGAUUUUAUGGGUGUUUAUGUGUGGUGGCUUCCAGAAAUGAAUAUUCCAUUAGACGUUUUCCAUAAUAUGAAGUCAUCACGUAGAUCAGUUCUGCUUCCUUACAUCAGGCAGCCAGGGCAGUUUCCUUUGAGCAUGAUGGUGAGCUGUUUGUUCUGCCAGGCCCAAAUGGAGUUGGAUAAUGGACAUGCCCAAAUUGUUCAGGAAACACUUAUAGAACUUUGUCCUUACUGCAGCAAAAUAUUGUAGCGUAUGGAAAUAGCAUAGCCUUCUGGGAAUAAAAAGGCAGCGAAUCAUACUCGGAGGAAAGCACUAUCUACCCUGUUCUGCAUACAUGAGCUCACAGACAUCUGUGAUUGAUCGUGCUGCUCUGAUUGACGAGGGAGAGAGAAAUCUCUUCCCUUCUACCAAGACAGCAUGGCCAAUUUUGCUUUCUUGACUCCUGGCCAUGGCUGGCUGUGGCAUCGUUGGGAUUCAAACUCACGAUCUCUUGAAAUUAGGAAGAAUGCUUUUCUGUUGCACCAGCAUCAUCAAUCACUUAACAUCAAUCUCAGAACAUGUAAGAAAAAUGUGUUAGGAUUUCCAUUUCACAUUGUGUUUAAUGCAUUUUUUUCAUUCUUUUACAUAGCAACAUUAACAGUGGAAAUCAAGAGAAAAAAAAGAAAGAAAAUUAAAGCAUGUUUCUUUCCAACUCAGCAGGUGCAAAUUAGACUGUGCUGUGGGUUUAGGAUUGAGCUCAUUCCUGUGUACAAACAGCAUGUCAACAGAUAAGCUAGCUUAACUCAAAUGCUUCAGGAUUGUCAGGAUUUAAUUCAAAAGUCACACGAUUUUUAACCUAGUGACUUUUAAACCAGUGCCCUGGGGAGCGUGCUUUCCAAAGAAGCCCUAGUAAGCUGCCACAUUUUAUCUCAAGUGCCUCAUAUAAGAAACAUUGUGUCUUGGCCUGCCUUCUGAUUACGCAACACAGCCUCAAUGUGCUUCUGGUUAGAUAGUGCAUUUUAAUACUACUGCUCACCACUUUACCUCACACAUUGCACAGUUUUCAUAUGAUGCAUGUGAACUGCAUCAGUCACUGACAGAAAACCAGAAACCCAUGUUGGACAGAAAGUCUUAGCCAAAUUCUUAAAUAACAACAAACAAACAAACAAACAAAAAGUGGAAAACAAAACAGGACGAGACCAGGAAAACAGUGCCAUCUGUGAACAGAAGUGGAGCUUGCACAACUGAACAUUUAAAUGGGUGACUAUUCAGAAAACUAGGGCCUGAAGAAUUUGCCAGCUAUUGGCAAGCAGACGAUCACAUCAUCUCCUGAUUAUGCAAUCCAGGGCAUUUUAAGGUUUCUCAAUUUCCCAAUAGGGGUUUGAGUUCAGAUGAGGGAGAUGGUUUUUCAGAGCUGAUGCAUGGUACCAAUAAGAUGAAAACUGGAUGAAAAUACUGUGUUGUUCUUGUAGUGGCCAACAAAUGAAAUCUAAGAACAGUUCCACCUGCGGCUUGUUAUGCAAAAGUGCAUCUAAUAGAGAAUGAGGUAAAAGUGCAGUAUUUGUGUAUUACGGCUGUUUAAAGGGCUUUAAGAAGAUUGACAUGACAUCACCAAUAAUGAUGGUUUUCCUGUUCAUAUCAUGUUUCUGGCAUGGAAUUCCUUUAGCAAGGAAUAUUUGUUCCUUUUUUUACCAUGACAUAUCCCCUAAGUACAAUUUUGGAAAUGGUAGUUGGGGUAUGUAGGGCCCAGGGCAGUAUUCUUCUUACAGGGAAAAGGCUGAGGGUGUAUAAUGUUUGAUCUUCAAUGACACAGAUUAAUCUAUUUGAGUAUGAAUGAGUUCUCAGUAGCUGUUUUGCAAUCUUCUGGAUGAUCGCAGAAUUUUAUCUCAAUAUCCAGUUUACACACAAUCACAUACUAUAAUUCUAAAACUGUUGCCUUAUUCCAAUUACUAACCCUUGAUCUAUUUUUUAGAACCUCCUGACUCCAGGGAAGUGACUCUAAAGCCAAAUAAUCAGGGGUCUCUCCAAAUAAAACAGUUCACUUUCUGAUGUUGCUUUCUGAGCUCCUUUGAAAA